rnacentral:rRNA from 1 species
GACGAACGCUGGCGGCGUGCUUAACACAUGCAAGUCGAACGAAGAGCGACGGAAGCUUGCUUCUAUCAAUCUUAGUGGCGAACGGGUGAGUAACGCGUAAUCAACCUGCCCUUCAGAGGGGGACAACAGUUGGAAACGACUGCUAAUACCGAUACGAUCUAAUCUCGGCAUCGAGGAUAGAUGAAAGGUGGCCUCUACAUGUAAGCUAUCACUGAAGGAGGGGAUUGCGUCUGAUUAGCUAGUUGGAGGGGUAACGGCCCACCAAGGCGAUGAUCAGUAGCCGGUCUGAGAGGAUGAACGGCCACAUUGGGACUGAGACACGGCCCAGACUCCUACGGGAGGCAGCAGUGGGGAAUCUUCCGCAAUGGACGAAAGUCUGACGGAGCAACGCCGCGUGAGUGAUGACGGCCUUCGGGUUGUAAAGC